UACGAAGGGGGCUAGCGUUGUUCGGAAUUACUGGGCGUAAAGCGCACGUAGGCGGCUAUUCAAGUCAGAGGUGAAAGCCCGGGGCUCAACCCCGGAACUGCCUUUGAAACUAGGUAGCUAGAAUCUUGGAGAGGUCAGUGGAAUUCCGAGUGUAGAGGUGAAAUUCGUAGAUAUUCGGAAGAACACCAGUGGCGAAGGCGACUGACUGGACAAGUAUUGACGCUGAGGUGCGAAAGCGUGGGGAGCAAACAGG
rnacentral:rRNA from 1 species